CUGUGUCUAGUAUUCUUGGUUCCCGGUCUCCCCCCCCGCCUUUGUUUUUGGAUUACUGCCUGCUUACAUGGACUGAAAGAGUGGGUGAGGAGAGCAGUCACCAAAGGAUGAAAUCAGUACCUGAGAAGAAGCACAACCGGUGAAUCAGCCAAGCUCAGCUGUGGUAGUUUCUACUCUAACUCAGCGUCACCCAGGAUGCAUCUGGCUCCAGGGACCUAUGAAGGUGGUGGAAGUAGCUGCUGAUGGCGGCAGAACCGAGGUGUCACUCCCUGCUUGGGUGCUCUGCCAUGCCAAAUCUGUCCAUCUGUCAUGCAUACAGGCCCAUCAAUCAAACAUCUGAAUGCAGGUCUGUGGCGACUUGCACUCUCCAAAAUAGUGCUUUGAGUCCGCUAGCAUCAACCUGAUUGUGAACUGUGUUGUUCAUCUCCAUGGCUGCAGCAGGAGAAAACAACACACCUUCGACGUUCUGUGUGUGUGUCGCG